UAGUGCUGCAAUGUAAACAUUGCAGUUUCUCUGGAAUUGCAAUGUUUUUACAUUGCAGCACCA
rnacentral:miRNA from 1 species